rnacentral:rRNA from 1 species
AACGAACGCUGGCGGCAGGCUUAACACAUGCAAGUCGAACGCCCCGCAAGGGGAGUGGCAGACGGGUGAGUAACGCGUGGGAAUCUACCCAUCCCUACGGAACAACUCCGGGACACUGGAGCUAAUACCGUAUACGCCCUGCGGGGGAAAGAUUUAUCGGGGUUGGAUGAGCCCGCGUUGGAUUAGCUAGUUGGUGGGGUAAAGGCCUACAAAGGCGACGAUCCAUAGCUGGUCUGAGAGGAUGAUCAGCCACAUUGGGACUGAGACACGGCCCACACUCCUACGGGAGGCAGCAGUGGGGAAUAUUGGACAAUGGGCGCAAGCCUGAUCCAGCCAUGCCGCGUGAGUGAUGAAGGUCUUAGGAUUGUAAAGCUCUUUCACCGGUGAAGAUAAUGACGGUAACCGGAGAAGAAGCCCCGGCUAACUUCGUGCCAGCCGCCGCGGUAAGAC